rnacentral:other from 1 species
AUAAUCCUGGGGUGAUUGGUGUGCGGGUUAAGUCCCUGAGCCGAUAAUCACAUUUUAGGCGCCCAUUCCUGUUACUAUUGUGCAUGCUCAGAUCAUACUGAGAAGCCUGAGGUAAUAGCUUGGAGAGCCGACCUGAACCUUCGGGUUCAGGACUAAACCUUGUAGCCGCACCCUGGGGCCCAU